AAAAAAAAUAAAAAAAAAAUGAAAAAAAAAAAAUAAAGGUAUAAUUCGAAUUCUGGUUAUGUACCACAGCUAGCAAGAACAGAUUCGUGAAUAGUGUCCUGUAUAAUCCAAGCAUCAAAAAACGAACCAAUUUCUCACUCAGUCGCGGCAUCUCUGUUUCAAUCCUACUCCUACAUAUAUUUCUUUUUACCUCCUUUAAAAAAUAAAAUUUACAAAAGUAAGCGGGAAAGACGGUAACGUCAUCGUCUGAUUACCGUUUGCCGAAACUUUUCGUUUCUUCCUUCACUCGGCUGGCAUGGUUCCCAGCCGCCAAGAAUCAUCCGGAAAUUCGGAAGAAACGAAAAAUACGUUGGAAUACUCGAACAAUCCGUCAUCAAACGCCGCAUACUCUGCGUUAUAAUUUUCACUGACUCCCAACUCGAACGAGUCAUAACUCGGGAUCUGAUCAUCAAACCCCCAGAACCCACCAUUUUCAGAUGAGUCAACUGAGUCCACUCGGACCAACUCAGUCACUUCAUUUUUAUUCUCCUCCCCGGAAGAAGUUACCGAUGAAGGAGGUAACCCAAGCUCAUCAUCAGAUGCUUCUAGAAGGUACCCAAGUUCCGGUUGGGACUCACCGGAAUCCGACGUGAGGUCCACAACAACGACUGGGGAGGAGGAGGCAGAUAUCUCCUCUUCAAAACUCUUCAUUACAGAGUCUAGAUCCUGAGUGGUCGGGUCAGGGUCCGACUCAUCAAGAAUACUCAACAAAUCAUCUCUUAUUUUCUUCACCUCGGGAAAAUCCAACUCGGCCUCCUCCCUGACUCGCUUCUUGUUGAUAAGCUCUUCCAUUGCGAUGUAAAAGAGGAAAUUUGAUAUUUGAUAUACCCUCGAAAACAAUAAAAAUGAAACAGUAUGGUUAGGGUUUUUGCUUUUCUUGCAGUAGAUAGGAAAUAAUACGCUUUGCG
rnacentral:misc_RNA from 1 species